rnacentral:rRNA from 1 species
ACGAACGCUGGCGGCGUGCUUAACCCAUGCAAGUCGAACGGAAAGGCCCCUUUGGGGGUCCUCGAGUGGCGAACGGGUGAGUAACACGUGAGUAACCUGCCCUUGACUUCGGGAUAACUUCAGGAAACUGGGGCUAAUACCGGAUAGGAAUCCUUGCUGCAUGGUGGGGGUUGGAAAGCUUCGGCGGUUUUGGAUGGACUCGCGGCUUAUCAGCUUGUUGGUGGGGUAGUGGCUUACCAAGGCUUUGACGGGUAGCCGGCCUGAGAGGGCGACCGGCCACAUUGGGACUGAGAUACGGCCCAGACUCCUACGGGAGGCAGCAGUGGGGAAUAUUGCACAAUGGGCGGAAGCCUGAUGCAGCAACGCCGCGUGCGGGAUGACGGCCUUCGGGUUGUAAACCGCUUUCAGCAGGGGCGAAGCUUGUGGUGACGGUACCUGCAGAAGAAGCACCGGCUAACUACGUG